rnacentral:rRNA from 1 species
GAACGAACGCUGGCGGCAGGCCUAACACAUGCAAGUCGAACGAUGCCUUGGGCUUCGGUGAGGUGGAGACUGGCGCACGGGUGAGUAACGCGUGGGUAUCUGCCCUGGGGUGGGGGAUAACCGCUGGAAACGGCGGCUAAUACCGCAUACGCCCUUAGGGGGAAAGCCGAGAGGCGCUCUGGGAGGAGCCCGCGUCAGGAGCCCGCGUCCGAUUAGCUUGUUGGUGGGGUAACGGCCCACCAAGGCUUCGAUCGGUAGCUGGUCUGAGAGGAUGAUCAGCCACACUGGGACUGAGACACGGCCCAGACUCCUACGGGAGGCAGCAGUGGGGAAUAUUGGAAAAUGGGCGCAAGCCUGAUCCAGCCAUGCCGCGUGAGUGAAGAAGGCCUUAGGGUUGUAAAACUCUUUCGCCCGCGAAGAUGAUGACGGUAGCGGGAGAAGAAGCCCCGGCUAACUCCGUGCCAGCAGCCGCGGUAAUACGGAGGGGGCGAGCGUUGUUCGGAAUUACUGGGCGUAAAGGGCGCGUAGGCGGCCAAGCAAGUCAGGGGUGAAAGGCCUGGGCUCAACCUGGGAACGGCCUCUGAAACUGCUGGGCUUGAGUGCGAGAGAGGAUGGCGGAAUUCCCAGUGUAGAGGUGAAAUUUCGUAGAUAUUGGGGAAGAACACCGGUGGCGAAGGCGGCACUCGGACCGAUCCUGACACUGAGGUGCGAAAGCGUGGGGAGCGAACAGGAUUAGAUACCCUGGUAGUCCACGCCGUAAACGAUGAGUGCUAGAUGUCGGGGGACAUGUCCUUCGGUGUCGGAGCUAACGUAUUAAGCACUCCGCCUGGGGAGUACGGCCGCAAGGUUAAAACUCAAAGGAAUUGACGGGGGCCCGCACAAGCGGUGGAGCAUGUGGUUUAAUUCGACGCAACGCGCAGAACCUUACCAGCCCUUGACAUGCCCGUUUUGGCAUUGGGAGACCGAUGCUAUCAGUUCGGCUGGACGGGACACAGGUGCUGCAUGGCUGUCGUCAGCUCGUGUCGUGAGAUGUUGGGUUAAGUCCCGCAACGAGCGCAACCCUCAUCUUCAGUUGCCAUCAGGUUUGGCUGGGCACUCUGGAGAAACUGCCUGUGAUAAGCAGGAGGAAGGCGAGGAUGACGUCAAGUCCUUAUGGCCCUUAUGGGCUGGGCUACACACGUGCUACAAUGGCGGUGACAGAGGGAAGCAACAGGGCGACCUGGAGCCAAUCCCCAAAAGCCGUCUCAGUUCGGAUUGCACGCUGCAACUCGCGUGCAUGAAGGUGGAAUCGCUAGUAAUCGUGGAUCAGCAUGCCACGGUGAAUACGUUCCCGGGCCUUGUACACACCGCCCGUCACACCAUGGGAGUUGGCUUGACCCUAAGCCGGUGCGCUAACCCGCAAGGGAGGCAGCCGUCCACGGUAAGGUCAGCGACUGGGGU